CAGCCGCCGCGGUAAUUCAGAGGGUGCGAGCGUUAAUCGGAUUUACUGGGCGUAAAGCGUGCGUAGGCGGCUUCUUAAGUCGGAUGUGAAAUCCCUGAGCUUAACUUAGGAAUUGCAUUCGAUACUGGGAAGCUAGAGUAUGGGAGAGGAUGGUAGAAUUCCAGGUGUAGCGGUGAAAUGCGUAGAGAUCUGGAGGAAUACCGAUGGCGAAGGCAGCCAUCUGGCCUAAUACUGACGCUGAGGUACGAAAGCAUGGGGAGCAAACAGGAUUAGAUACCCCAGUAGUCCCUGUCUCUUAUAC
rnacentral:rRNA from 1 species